ACCCGGAAGAGCAGGGAGGCUUGUGCUCUCGGGACUCAGGUGAGGAAGCUGAGGCCCGGGUUGCCUUCACUGAAGGAGUCAGGUCAUGAGAGCCUGCUCUUUGGGGUGAGCUGAGGAAACUCCGUUCUUUGUCAAUGCUCCCCAAUUCCAGGGAACCUUGAGAUCCCUCCCGCGUGGGCGAGGACCGCUGCGGGCUGGAAAGUCAUCGACACCACUGAGCAGCGGCUCAGGAAGGCACAGGGUCAGUAAAAUACCUUGGAACUAAAACACGGAGGUGGCGCAUUAGAACAAACUUGAACUUUCAGUUGCAAAGCACUGAUCUGCGUUAACAGUUCAAAGAAAAAUACAGAAAAUGCUGCCUCUUGUCCAACAAGAAAACAAUCCAAGGACACAGCUGUUGAUGUGCCCGAGAGUGAGACGGGCUCGUCGUGUUUUGUGCCCAGCGAGGGGCACUCCAGAAGCAUCACCCUCAUUUGCUUUGUCUUCCCUCUUCUGCUUCGUCAACAGCUUGCCUCACUGCGCAUUAGCCAUACCAAGGAAAAUGUCUGCUUGUCCUGAUUAAAGUACUCCUUUGACAAA